rnacentral:rRNA from 1 species
UGAACGCUGGCGGCAUGCUUUACACAUGCAAGUCGAACGGUAACAGGCCUUCGGGUGCUGACGAGUGGCGAACGGGUGAGUAAUGCAUCGGAACGUGCCCAGAGGUGGGGGAUAACGCAGCGAAAGCUGUGCUAAUACCGCAUGUGAUCUGAGGAUGAAAGCGGGGGACCAGGCAGCAAUGUUUGGCCUCGCGCCUUUGGAGCGGCCGAUGUCAGAUUAGGUAGUUGGUGGGGUAAAGGCCUACCAAGCCGACGAUCUGUAGCUGGUCUGAGAGGACGACCAGCCACACUGGGACUGAGACACGGCCCAGACUCCUACGGGAGGCAGCAGUGGGGAAUUUUGGACAAUGGGCGCAAGCCUGAUCCAGCAAUGCCGCGUGCGGGAAGAAGGCCUUCGGGUUGUAAACCGCUUUUGUACGGAACGAAAAGGCUCUGGCUAAUACCUGGGGCUGAUGACGGUACCGUAAGAAUAAGCACCGGCUAACUACGUG